rnacentral:misc_RNA from 1 species
UACAGAAGCCCCGAGCGUUGCUCGGAAUUACUGGGCGUAAAGGGUGCGUAGGCGGGUCUUUAAGUCAGGGGUGAAAUCCUGGAGCUCAACUCCAGAACUGCCUUUGAUACUGAGGAUCUUGAGUUCGGGAGAGGUGAGUGGAACUGCGAGUGUAGAGGUGAAAUUCGUAGAUAUUCGCAAGAACACCAGUGGCGAAGGCGGCUCACAGGCCCGAUACUGACGCUGAGGCACGAAAGCGUGGGGAGCAAACAGG